rnacentral:rRNA from 1 species
UACGGAGGGCGCAAGCGUUGUUCGGAAUCACUGGGCGUAAAGAGCGCGUAGGCGGCUUUUCAAGUCAGGGGUGAAAUCCUGGAGCUUAACUCCAGAAUUGCCUCUGAAACUGUAAAGCUUGAGUGUCGGAGGGGAUAGCGGAAUUCCUAAUGUAGAGGUGAAAGUCGUAGAUAUUAGGAGGAACACCGGUGGCGAAGGCGGCUAUCUGGACGACAACUGACGCUGAGGCGCGAAAGCGUGGGGAUCAAACAGG